UUUUAGGAAAAAAGGGACAAAUCUUGAGGGCUAGGAAAAUGGCUUGUAAUGGAAAGGAGCCAUUUUUGUUCCCGAACCUAUAAAAGGUAGUACUGAUGGGAAAAAAGAUUAGUUAUUUAGUGGUGUUGAGCUAAUAAGCCUUUUUUAAGCAUAUAAUCGAAAUAUAUUGACAUUUUAAAUUGUGAAAAAAUCUUUUGUUUUGUGAAAAGAAAAAUAAAAAUAAACGUGUAAUUGGUAACUAGGUGACUGUGAGGGAGGAGAGAACAAGCCUUAAGGCUGGAAAUACAUAAAGAGCAUAUUUGGCUGGCUUAAGUCAUCGGCUGGCUUCUUCGUAGAUGAACAAAGGAGGUUUAGGUUGACUUAGUUCGAUUUUGGCCCUAGGCUACUUUGUUCAUUUCCGAAGAAGCCAGCCGAUGACUUAAGCCAGCCAGAAAAGCGCUUUAUGUAUUUCCACCCUUAGUGUCAAAGGUUAAUUAAACCGUUUCUUAAAUAUACUCCGACAAACAAAUAUGGUCGGAGUCGGGUACAGACAGCGAUAUCUUGCGGGCAAUAUUUCCAUUAACACCACUGACACAUUAAAUUAAAUCUCCACUCGUCAGAUCAAAGCUCAGCACCCAGAAUAAUACCCAAUAUACUUCCAACUUUGAUUUUAUGCUGUGAAGUCUCCAACCUGUUUAUUAACGUCACAGUGUUCCGGGAUUACGUAUAAACCUCUAAUUAUUUAAGUAAUUUCAACCCAACGAAUGCUUAUUCUGACUAAUGUUAAAAAGUUGCGGAUGUGACGAAGUAUUGUUAGACUUCAUCAGGAUUUGAGGUGACCCUGGAGUAUCAGACCUAUUGACAAUUACAAACACAUACAACACAUAAACACAUCACGAAUUUUAUUAAAUUUUUUCAACCGA